rnacentral:rRNA from 1 species
AUUGAACGCUGGCGGAAUGCUUUACACAUGCGAGUCGAACGGCAGCACGGACUUCGGUCUGGUGGCGAGUGGCGAACGGGUGAGUAAUGUAUCGGAACGUGCCCAGUCGUGGGGGAUAACGUAGUGAAAAUUACGCUAAUACCGCAUACGAUCUAUGGAUGAAAGCGGGGGAUCGCAAGACCUCGCGCGAUUGGAGCGGCCGAUAUCAGAUUAGGUAGGUGGUGGGGUAAAGGCCCACCAAGCCAACGAUCUGUAGCUGGUCUGAGAGGACGACCAGGCACGCUGGAACUGAGACACUGUCCAGACUCCUACGGGAGGCAGCAGUGGGGAAUUUUGGACAAUGGGCGAAAGCCUGAUCCAGCCAUUCCGCGUGCAGGAUGAAGGCCCUCGGGUUGUAAACUGCUUUUGUACAGAACGAAAAGGUUUCUACUAAUACUAGGAGCUCAUGACGGUACUGUAAGAAUAAGCACCGGCUAACUACGUGCCAGCCGCCGCCGUAA